AUACGGAGGAUCCGAGCGUUAUCCGGAUUUAUUGGGUUUAAAGGGUGCGCAGGCGGCCAUUUAAGUCAGCGGUUAAAUCGUGGGGCUCAACCCCAUUCUGCCGUUGAUACUGGGUGGCUUGAUUGCGGUCGAGGUUGGCGGAAUUCGUUGUGUAGCGGGGAAAUGCAUAGAUAUGACGAAGAACACCGAUUGCGUAGGCAGCUGACCAGACCGCAAAUGACGCUCAUGCACGAAAGUGCGGGGAUCGAACAGGAUUAGAUACCCUGGUAGCCCGCACAGUAAACGAUGAAUACUUGUUUUCGGCGAUAUAAUGUCGGAGGCAAAGCGAAAGCGAUAAGUAUUCCACCUGGGGAGUACGCCGGCAACGGUGAAACUCAAAUGAAUUGACGGGG
rnacentral:rRNA from 1 species